UACGGAGAGUGCAAACGUUGUUCGGAUUCACUGGGCGUAAAGGGCACGUAGGCGGCUCGGCAAAUCGGUCGUGGAAUCCCGACGCUUACCGUCGGAACGGCGGCCGAAAAUACCGGGCUCGAGGGCGUGAGGGGUCACUGGAACUCCUGGUGAAGCGGUGAAAUUCGUAGAUAUUCGCAAGAACACCAGUGGCGAAGGCGGCUCACUG
rnacentral:rRNA from 1 species